rnacentral:rRNA from 1 species
GGAUAACCUACCCUUAGGACUGGGAUAACCCUGGGAAACUGGGGCUAAUACCGGAUAGGCAAUUUUUCCUGGAAUGGUUUUUUGUUUAAAUGUUUUUUCGCCUAAGGAUGGGUCUGCGGCCGAUUAGGUAGUUGGUUAGGUAAUGGCUUACCAAGCCGUUGAUCGGUACGGGUUGUGAGAGCAAGAGCCCGGAGAUGGAACCUGAGACAAGGUUCCAGGCCCUACGGGGUGCAGCAGGCGCGAAACCUCCGCAAUGUGAGAAAUCGCGACGGGGGGAUCCCAAGUGCCAUUCUUAACGGGAUGGCUUUUCAUUAGUGUAAAGAGCUUUUGGAAUAAGAGCUGGGCAAGACCGGUGCCAGCCGCCGCGGUAACACCGGCAGCUCUAGUGGUAACAAUUUUUAUUGGGCCUAAAGUGUCCGUAGCCGGUUUAAUAAGUCUCUGGUGAAAUCCUGUAGCUUAACUGUGGGAAUUGCUGGAGAUACUAUUAGACUUGAGACCGGGAGAGGUUAGAGGUACUCCCAGGGUAGAGGUGAAAUUCUGUAAUCCUGGGAGGACCGCCUGUUGCGAAGGCGUCUAACUGGAACGGUUCUGACGGUGAGGGACGAAAGUUAGGGGCGCGAACCGGAUUAGAUACCCGGGUAGUCCUAACUGUAAACGAUGCGGACUUGGUGUUGGGGUGGCUUUGAGCUGCUCCAGUGCCGAAGGGAAGCUGUUAAGUCCGCCGCCUGGGAAG